AUUGAACGCUGGCGGCAUGCUUUACACAUGCAAGUCGAACGGCAGCACGGGGGCAACCCUGGUGGCGAGUGGCGAACGGGUGAGUAAUGUAUCGGAACGUACCCGGCAAUGGGGGAUAGCUCGGCGAAAGCCGGAUUAAUACCGCAUAUGCCCUGAGGGGGAAAGCAGGGGAUCGAAAGACCUUGCGUUGUCGGAGCGGCCGAUAUCAGAUUAGCUUGUUGGUGAGGUAAAGGCUCACCAAGGCGACGAUCUGUAGCUGGUCUGAGAGGACGACAAGCCACACUGGGACUGAGACACGGCCCAGACUCCUACGGGAGGCAGCAGUGGGGAAUUUUGGACAAUGGGGGCAACCCUGAUCCAGCCAUGCCGCGUGAGUGAAGAAGGCCUUCGGGUUGUAAAGCUCUUUCGGACGGAAAGAAAUCGCACUUGAUAAUACCUUGUGUGGAUGACGGUACCGUAAGAAGAAGCACCGGCUAACUACGUGCCAGCAGCCGCCGUAACAC
rnacentral:rRNA from 1 species